GAGGUCGUAGCCGAAGAGGACGCCGCCGCUGCAGGCGACGACGCAGCACAGCGCCACGAACGGCGUCACUCGGCCGCCGUACUCCGCCCCUCCGGGUGCCGGAGCCGCAUCCGCGAUCGCCAUCGUGCUGCUGCCUCUGGUAAAAAAAAGAACCGGGCCAUGGACAAGGAGUUGCCGCCGACGAGACGUGGCCGGUGGCGCCGGCGGAGGGCCCGGUCGCACCUGUCCCUCCUCGUCGCGGACGUCCUCGUGCCCCUCCUCCCAGCCUCACUCCAACCUUGCUGAUGUUUCUAUCUGGUUUGAUCAGAUACACCCCAAUUCAGAACACGCUACAAGCUCGGCAAAGCUAUUUCCCCUUCUUCUGCUUGUUUCUUUUCCUCUUCCUCCCCUACAAUCUUCUUCCAAAACCAGUGCCUCCUCCAGACCUGCUCCAUCUGCUCCAUGGGCAACUUCUUUGUCUCCGGCAGGAACAAAUAAACAAACAGCGUCAUCAAGCAAAUCCACCCACCAAAGACGAAGAAUGUCGCAGACUUGAUGCGACAAAGGACCGCAAGAAAUGUCUGGCCGAUCACAAAUGUCAUCAAGAAAACUACAGCAACCACAAUACUCUGCCCUGCUGAUCUUAUCUCCAGUGGACAAACCUCAGCAGGGACCAAGAAUGUAAGA